rnacentral:misc_RNA from 1 species
GCAAACUUGGUCAUUUAGAGGAAGUAAAAGUCGUAACAAGGUUUCCGUAGGUGAACCUGCGGAAGGAUCAUUAUCGAGUGAAUGGCUUCUUUUGACGAAGCCUGAUCUCUCACCCUUGUAUUGUUCUACCCAAUUGCUUUGGUGGGCCAGCCAACAUGGUGGCUGCGGUGGGUGCUUGGUGAUCAACCGGGCCCCCAGCGCUCGUGCCCACCAGAGAUGUUCAAUGCCUGUAGUCAACGAUGGGCUGAAUGGAGAAGUUGGAAUGAAUGAAAACUUUCAACAAUGGAUCUCUUGGUUCUGGCAUCGAUGAAGAACGCAGC